rnacentral:rRNA from 1 species
GAUGAACGCUGGCGGCGUGCCUAAUACAUGCAAGUCGAGCGAACAGAUAAGGAGCUUGCUCCUUUGACGUUAGCGGCGGACGGGUGAGUAACACGUGGGUAACCUACCUAUAAGACUGGAAUAACUCCGGGAAACCGGGGCUAAUGCCGGAUAACAUUUAGAACCGCAUGGUUCUAAAGUGAAAGAUGGUUUUGCUAUCACUUAUAGAUGGACCCGCGCCGUAUUAGCUAGUUGGUAAGGUAACGGCUUACCAAGGCAACGAUACGUAGCCGACCUGAGAGGGUGAUCGGCCGCACUGGAACUGAGACACGGUCCAGACUCCUACGGGAGGCAGCAGUAGGGAAUCUUCCGCAAUGGGCGAAAGCCUGACGGAGCAACGCCGCGUGAGUGAUGAAGGUCUUCGGAUCGUAAAACUCUGUUAUUAGGGAAGAACAAAUGUGUAAGUAACUGUGCACGUCUUGACGGUACCUAAUCAGAAAGCCACGGCUAACUACGUG